rnacentral:rRNA from 1 species
AGAGUUUGAUCCUGGCUCAGAAUCAACGCUGGCGGCGCGCUUAACACAUGCAAGUCGAGCGAGAAAGGGAGCAAUCCUGAGUAAAGCGGCGUACGGGUGAGUAACACGUGGAUGAUAUGCCUUUUAGUGGGGAAUACCCUUGGGAAACCGAGGACAAUACCGCAUAAGCCCGAGAGGGGAAAGCAGCAAUGCGCUGAAAGAGUAGUCCGCGGCUGAUUAGCUAGUUGGUAGGGUAAAGGCCUACCAAGGCUGUGAUCGGUAGCCGGCCUGAGAGGGCACACGGCCACACUGGCACUGAAACACGGGCCAGACUCCUACGGGAGGCAGCAGUGGGGAAUCUUGCACAAUGGACGAAAGUCUGAUGCAGCGACGCCGCGUGAGCGAUGAAGCCCUUCGGGGUGUAAAGCUCUUUCGACAGGAACGAUAAUGACGGUACCUGGAGAAGAAGCUGCGGCUAACUACGUGCCAGCAGCCGCGGUAAUACGUAGGCAGCAAGCGUUGUUCGGAAUUACUGGGCGUAAAGCGUGCGUAGGCGGUGCCUCAAGUUUGGUGUGAAAUCUCCCGGCUCAACCGGGAGGGUGCGCCGAAAACUGAGGUGCUCGAGUGUGGGAGAGGUAGGCGGAAUUCCUGGUGUAGCGGUGAAAUGCGUAGAUAUCAGGAGGAACACCGGCGGUGUAGACGGCUUACUGGACCAUAACUGACGCUGAGGCACGAAAGUGUGGGGAGCAAACAGGAUUAGAUACCCUGGUAGUCC